UACGGGGGGGGCAAGCGUUGUUCGGAAUUACUGGGCGUAAAGGGCUCGUAGGCGGCCAACUAAGUCCGACGUGAAAUCCCAAGGCUUAACCUUGGAACUGCGUCGGAUACUGGAUGGCUUGAAUUCGGGAGAGGGAUGCGGAAUUCCAGGUGUAGCGGUGAAAUGCGUAGAUAUCUGGAGGAACACCGGUGGCGAAGGCGGCAUCCUGGACCGAGAUUGACGCUGAUGAGCGAAAGCCAGGGGAGCAAACGGG
rnacentral:rRNA from 1 species